UCGUUCGCCGUACUCCUCGCUGUGAGCCGCCCGGCCCAGACCCCCUGCCCAAUCCGGCAUUGCAGGCCGGCGGGUGGCAGCCCCGUGCAGGGCACCAAUUUGAUGCACAUGUUGCCCUCAAAUUUGAACCUUAAAGAAGGUUCAAAUUUGAGGGCAAUCAGUUUUUUAUUUAGUUUGUUUACUACAUUAUAUUGUUUGUAAUUCAAGUUAAUUGUGUUUGUAAUUUAAGUUAAUUUGUUGUGAUUAACAUUAAUUUGAUUAGUGCAUUAAUUUGUUUGUAAUUUAACCUCAAUUUGGAUGUAUUUAGAUGGAAAUUUACUUGGAAAUGUAGAUGGAAAUUUUGAUUCUUGGAAUUUUGGAUCCUUAGAAAUUUAGUAUGCAAAUUUAGUUUGGAAAUUUAGAUGGAAAUUUAGUUUGGAAAAUUAGUUGGAAAUUUAGAUAGAAAUUUAGAUGGAAAUUUUGAUCCUUGGAAUUUUGGAUCCUUAGAAAUUUAGUAUGGAAGUUUAGUUUGGAAAUUUAGAUGGAAAUUUAGUUUGAAAAACUAGUUGGAAAGUAAGCUAGAAAUUUAGAUGGAAAUUUUGAUCCGGUGAAUUUUGGAUCCUUGGAAAUUUAGUAUGGAAGUUUAGUUUGGAAAUUUAGAUGGAAAUUUAGUUUGAAAAAUUAGUUGGAAAUUUAGAUAGAAAUUUAGAUGGAAUUUUGGAUCCUUAGAAAUUAGUAUGCAAAUUUACUUUGGAAAUUUAGAUGGAAAUUGAGUUUAAAAUUUAGUUUGAAAUGUAUUGGAAUUUUAGUUUCAAAUUUAGAUGGAAAUUAAGUUGGAUACUUACUUUAAUUUGAUCAAAAUAAUUUGUAUAUUCAAUAGUUAGUUAAGAUGGAUUCGCGACGUGACGAGAUUGAUGAUGAGCAAUUCUUAAUGGACAUGAUUGCAUCCGGUAGCGCGGCCGCGGCUCCUCAUGCCGACGACACCGGUGAUGUUGCCAAUACCAACAUAUACCUCAAUAUGUCCGGUGGCGAGAAAAUUGAUCAAAAUACAGCUGCUGCUGCUGCUGACCAGGAAGGAAACAUAUAUACCUGAAUAUCGAUCCUUAUGUUCUAAGUCGUACUUACAAUGAGUCAUAACCAUAAGUCGUACUUACAAUGAGUCAUAACCAUGAAUAUAUAUUUAUUUUUUUGAAGCCAUCUGGAUCGUCAAGUCAGCAUACCAAAAAAACGAAGCGAGGCCCGACCAAGAAAUUGGAAGGGCGAUUUAUCAUAACAGAAGUGACUCUAGAUGGUGAACCAAUCGCUCCAGAAUCAGCCGCAAAGAAAUAUGUUAGGCAAUGUGGUUGUCUUGUACGGGACCACAUCCCUAUCAGAUUUAGGUUAUGGAAAGCUAACAAUCCAAGCGAGCAAAGGGAUGCGGUGCCUGAAAGAGAAAAGGAGUGGCUCUGGCGGGAGCUGAAGAAGAACUUCACGGUUACGGCUGAAUCAGAAGAAGCAGCUAAGCGCUGGACCCUGAGCAAGAUGGCCGAACAACUUCAGACCAUUAAGAAGAAUUUGACGAAGAAUUAUAUAAAGAAAGGGAAAAUGCCAGAGUUCACUAGAGACCUUGCAAAGUAGACGGACCACUGGAAUGCCUUUGUGGCAUAUAAGUCUUCAGAGCUUGGGAUUCGGAACGUGAAAAAAACCAAGGAAAAUGCCUCCAAAAAAGUAUAUCAUCAUGGUGGGUAUAAGAUGGCAAAACCAAAAUGGGAGAAGAUGGAGCAGGAUAUGAUUGACAAAGAUAUCACGCCUGUGACCAUCACCUGGCCUGAACGUUCAAAGAACUGGUACUAUGCUCAUGGUGGAACAUUGGACCCAGAGACGGGUGAGGGCAUCUUUGGCUAGAAAAUUUAGCAGGGGUCCCGCAGACUACAGGAGGCCAUACAAGCAGUUAGCCAAGGCACAUUCCAGCCCGAUAGAGAAAAGGACGAACUGACAUACGCCCUUCAGAACUCAGAACAUCCGGGGCGUACAAGGGGCAAGGGAGUGGUUGCGUGGAAAUAUGGCUUCAAAGAUUACAUCGAAACAUAUAGAAGUCGGGAUAGAAGGAAGAACGAGCAGCGCCUGCACUUGCGAAGGCUAGAGGAACAGUUCCUCUCACAAGAUGAAAGAAUGGCAGAAGAGGUUAAGCGCCAGGUGGCCAUAGCAAUGAGUCAGCAGCAACAACAACAAGCGGAGCCUGCAGAGUCUAUUGUCGAUGCGGUCGGCCUAUCUCAAUGUAAAAGCAGCUGCGCCUCCACAGGCCUCCCUGUCGAUACGGGAAUCCCGCUAUUGAUACGAUGGCUGAGUAGCACUAUCCAGUGGAUGAGAUCACCCAACGGACACCUUGAGCGCUUCAAACUUGCAGUAAGAACUUAAGGUUCACGGUAGCGUACGGUUCCGCCAUGCCAAGCACACCAGGCGAGGUGUACCAUGGGCAGGAGAUCCCGGCUGGAUACACUAAAGUUGGGGUCGAGGAGGUGUGCAAUGAUUGGAUGAAUCUCGAGCUCGAUAUUCCUGGAGGUGACGGGGAGACAACCGUAGCAGACGCCGUUCAUGGUUACAUCAUAUGGGACAAGAGGUACAUCAUCCUCAAUCCUACCGAUCAGGGAUCAAGGCCGGCAUCGCCGCAACACGCUCAUCGUUCACCUCCUCCGCCACCAUCUCCGGAAUCUGCCCCAGAACACUCUGCUGCUGAGCCGUCAUCUCCUAGUUAGCCGUUGACUACUUCUGCUGAGCCACCAUCUCCUAGCUCACCUCCUCCGCCACCGCCAAAGAAGCGAAAAAAGACGGAGCCUGAGAAUAAGGAUAAACCACUGGAUGCUUUAAAAUUAAAAUUUUUUAUUAGAAUGAAGGAAUCAAAUAGAAGAAAGUUCAUUGGGAAACCGCUGCUUUCGGACUACGACCCCUCGAUUAAGAAAUCAUACGACAAGAGACAAUCAGGGUCAUCAUCGUCCGGUGUUCCACAGCUCGGGGCCCAACAAAAACAAUCAAUAGAACCGCUAGUUGUUCUAAACCAGGAACAACAAGGCUUUCUGGGGUUCUUGCAAUCAGCAAAGCUCACUACUGAUCAGAUAACAGGGGUUUCGAAUCAAGAUCUGGAUCCGCUGAAAGAGUAUCUGAUAGCUCUAGUGGUCAAAUAGCACUAUAAGGAGGGCACCAGCCUUGUCCCCCCAGAUAUUGUGCAGUUGCUUCCAACGCAAAUGCGAAGGCUACAUGACUUGUACAUGAAGGUGAUGAGAGAAUGCAACUUCAUGCAGGUCGCAAAGAUUGGAGAUGAAGAUUUCUUUCGUGGAGAGGCCAUCAUAUGGAUUGAUUGGGAAGAAGUGUACCAAUUAUACCAUCAGGACGCCCUCGACAUCUCUAUGGUCGCUUUGUGGCUUUUGAUGGAGAUUCAAACAUGCCGGAAAAAGGGUAUUAUCACAUCGGCUUUGUCGACCCACAGGUUGUGAAUUGCAAGAAUCUCCAGAGCAAUCCUGCAGAAACAUUCAAAAACUUGUACAAGUACCUAAACAUUCAACAUUACAAGAGUCUCAUUCUAUUUCCGUACAACUUUGCAGAUCACUGGAUACUAGUUGUCAUAUUUCCGGACUUGAGCUUAGCAGUUGUUAUGGACUCUUUGCGGAGCGAUCCGGACCAAUACAAAGACAUGAGCGACAUGUUGAACAAGGUUUGGAAGAAAUUCGUUCGAAAGCAUAGUGGCAAUUUCAGCGCCGAACUAAAAUGGAAGAAAAACAUUCCGUGUCGUAGGCAGGCGCAAGGAACUAAUUUAUGCGCAUACUAUGUCAUAGAAAAUAUCCAUGGCCUGGUAUGUCCUCAAAAGACCGAAAGCUAAUGGGAGAAGGAAGUUUAUCAAAUGCAUGACUCACUCAUACCAGAGGAAAGGAUCCUGGCGAUUCAAGAAGCCUUGAGCGAAUUUAUUGUUCGCGAGGUCCUCGACCCGGCAGGAGAAUUCUACUGAUGGCGUGUUAAACAUAGAUAAUAGGAGUAAAUAUGACAAAAUUAAAUAAAACUUUAGUUGCACUUUGUGUGUAAUUGACUUUUGUGUUGCACUUUAUAUGAGUAAAUGAAUAUAUAUUUAUAUUUAUAUUA